GCUUCUUCAGUCAAUAGUUGUAGAGUGACAUGCCAUCAUAGUGUUAGGAAUCAAUUAUUGGUAAUUAGGUGAGGGAUACACGCGUGUAAAAAAAGUGUAAUCCAGUAAAACUUCCUUUUAACUUGGAACCAACUAACUUUUCCUUGUGUAUAGUUUUAUGUAUGGAGAUGUACAGACAUUUUCUAUUAUAAGAAGGUUUCCGUCUUAAAAAGUAUCCUUUGAAGAAGGUUUUACUGAAUAUAAUAAUAAUAAUAAUAACAAACAAUAAUAAUUAUAUAUAUGUACAUAUUGAUUUUUCGGCGGAUACUUUACUUUUAUG